GAAGUAAAAGUCGUAACAAGGUCUCCGUUGGUGAACCAGCGGAGGGAUCAUUACUGAGUUACCGCUCUAUAACCCUUUGUGAACAUACCUACAACUGUUGCUUCGGCGGGUAGGCCGUCCCCUGAAAAGGACGCCUCCCGGCCCGGACCGGACCCCCCGCGGGACCGGACCCGGCGCCCGCCGGAGGAUAACCAAACUCUAUUGUAACGACGUUUCUUCUGAGUGGCAUAAGCAAAAUAAUCAAAACUUUUAACAACGGAUCUCUUGGUUCUGGCAUCGAUGAAGAACGCAGCGAAAUGCGAUAAGUAAUGUGAAUUGCAGAAUUCAGUGAAUCAUCGAAUCUUUGAACGCACAUUGCGCCCGCCAGCAUUCUGGCGGGCAUGCCUGUUCGAGCGUCAUUUCAACCCUCAAGCUCUGCUUGGUGUUGGGGCUCUACGGUCGACGUAGGCCCUCAAAGGUAGUGGCGGACCCUCCCGGAGCCUCCUUUGCGUAGUAACAUUUCGUCUCGCACUGGGAUCCGGAGGGACUCUUGCCGUAAAACCCCCCAAUUUUCCAAAGGUUGACCUCGGAUCAGGUAGGAAUACCCGCUGAACUUAA
rnacentral:rRNA from 1 species